AACGAACGCUGGCGGCAGGCUUAACACAUGCAAGUCGAACGGAUCCUUCGGGAUUAGUGGCAGACGGGUGAGUAACGCGUGGGAACGUACCCUUUGCUACGGAAUAACUCAGGGAAACUUGAGCUAAUACCGUAUGUGCCCUACGGGGGAAAGAUUUAUCGGCAAAGGAUCGGCCCGCGUUGGAUUAGCUAGUUGGUGGGGUAAUGGCCUACCAAGGCGACGAUCCAUAGCUGGUCUGAGAGGAUGAUCAGCCACACUGGGACUGAGACACGGCCCAGACUCCUACGGGAGGCAGCGGUGGGGAAUAUUGGACAAUGGGCGCAAGCCUGAUCCAGCCAUGCCGCGUGAGUGAUGAAGGUCUUAGGAUUGUAAAGCUCUUUCACCGGUGAAGAUAAUGACGGUAGCCGGAGAAGAAGCCCCGGCUAACUUCGUG
rnacentral:rRNA from 1 species